AACUUUAUAGUAUAUACAAAUAGAAGUGACAUUGACAAUUUUAUGAAAAAGUGAUUUUUAUUGUCACAGUAAUUUUUAGCUUUUCAAAGGAAAAUAAGAUGUCAGACAAUUUACAGAAUUAAUCUGAAUGUAAACAAUGUUCACAGACCAUCUAAACAUCCAUAAUUAUACUGACUGUGUGUUAUAAGCAAGAAUCACCUGAAUGUAGAUUUUAUGAUGAAAAACAAAAUCAUAGUUUCUGAUACAGGAAGCUCUUGGUUUGUCUGCAUCAAGCACUUAAAUUCAUUUGUUACACCACUUACCACCAAUAGAGUUAAAAUACUGGAAAAGCCCAGAAAUGGCAGAAGACCUUGACAGGUUUUUAGAAAGCCCAUUAUAUUUCAGUGAGAAUUCUGUUUCUCAGGGAAACUACUUAUUGCAACUGUCUGAGACUAAUUCAUUCUUCAUCUCUGUGUGGAGCUGUAUUGUGCAGCAAAAAGUGGCUCAUGCAAAAGUAAAUGAAAAGCUUAAAAGAAUUUGCAUGGGCCGUCUCUAAAGAACUGAAAAGGUGAUGGACAGAAUUAAAAACUAGAAUUUUCUCCGAGCUUUUUAACCAUUGAGAGAAAUGCCUAAAAGUAGGACAUUUUAUAUCACUUGUCCUGCCCCGUGCAAGGGGCAAACGCUGUACUUUCUUGUUCAAACAGCUGUGACGUCCCCAAACACCAUUUCCUUACCGGCUGUCAACUGCUGGAUUGAUUCACUGGGACCCAGCCAGUGGGGUAUUCUCUUACCACAGUCCACCACUGGAAACCACUACAGAUGGAAAACCCUCAAGAACUGCAACCUCUCCUCCAGGAUCCACUCAAUGCCGGCAUCUGGAGUGAGCAAGAGGUUUGUCCCUGCCAAGUCAACCAUAAAACACAUGGUGAUGCUGCUGCCCAAGGGGAGAGGGGUUGCUGCUGCCAUGCCUCUCUCUGAGCGGCCGUGGAGUAUGCACACCCUACUCCACCCCUUUCUAUGCCUAGGUUCAGCCGUAGUUGCUGGGCAAGGGUGUGGAGGGUAAGACCAGGUGUGAGAAGGGAUGAGCGAGACAACUGCUGAAAACCCAUCCAGGGUAUAUAUAAGGAAGUGUACCAUGGCACCAAAGUGUUCACACAAGCUUCUCUUACAAACUUAAAUGCAAUGAUAAAGUUAUUAAGAGUUUCCAGACAGCAACCACAGAGCAUUAAACUCCAAAUAUCGGUGGGAGUAGAGUUCUUCUGAGAUGGAGUCCUGUGCAGCUGACCUGGGUACAUACCCUUGGAGCCAGCCAUGACCUUAAGGGUCCAUUUGCAUCAGCAAAUAAUUAACGGGUUAUGUUAUGGGUUGGACUGAUACACUGAAGUUCACACACCCAGUACUUGUGAAUGUAACCUUUGGAAAUAGGGUCUUUGCAGCUGUAAUACAGUUAAGAGGAGGUUAUUAAAGUGGGUCCUCAUCUAAUUAUAAGGACUGGUUUUUUUAUAAGAAGACAGACAGAGACACACAGGGCAAAUUCUAUGUGAUGACGGAAGCAGAGAUUGACAAGAUACAAGCCAAGGAGUACGAAGGAUUGCCAGCAACAGCAGCAGCCAAGAAAAAGGCAUGGGAUCAAUUACCCCUAAAGACUUCAAAAAGAGCACAGCCCUGAGGAUGCCUUGAGUUUGAACAGAGACAAUCACAAGUCUCUGUUCUUUUAAGCCACCCAGUGUUUUGGUAAUUUGUUACUGCAGCCGUAGGAAAACUAGUACAAGUAAUAUUUUCUCUGUCAUUCAAAUAAUCAUGUAUUUUUGGUUUUCAUUCAUAUUAACCUUUCUUUGAGUUAAUCCUUAAAGGCAAGUUUGAAGUUUUAAGUAGAUACUUCAUGUAUAAACUUCAUUAUUUAUAGUCACUUUUGUGAGUUUUAGGUGGUGGGCUUACAUUCAGAAACAUAAGGAAAUGACCAAUAUAUGCAGUAUAUCUCUGUGGCUUUGUUUCUGUGGUUUGGCAUUUUAUUUACACCACAAGUAGCAGAGUGGUUAAUUGCACUAGAUAAGUGGAACUCUUUUAUAAAAGACAGACUUAAAUUAUGGACUACACAAAAAGAAAAGGGGGAGAGAUUCUAUAAUACUCUUAUUCAAAUCAAAAAGAAAAAACAGCCUUGAAAGCAAGAGUGAAUGAAAAAACUGAAAUGAAUUGAAUAUUUUCGUUUUUAAAAAUUACAUCUUUGAGAAAAAUGUUAAAGUAUUAAGUUGGUUAGAUGUCUUUUUCUUUUUUUUCUUUUUUGAGAUGGAGUCUUGCUCCAUUGCCUAGGCUGAAGUGCAGUGAAAAUUACAUCUCUGAGGAAAUCUUUAAAGUAUUAAGUUGGUUAGAUGUCUUUUAUUUAUUUACUUAUUUAUUUUUGAGAUGGAGUCUCGCUCCAUGGCCCAGGCUGAAGUGCACUAGUGCGAUCUUGGCUCACUGCAACUUCUGCCUCCCAGGUUCAAUCAAUUCUCUGCCUCUGCCUCCGAAGUUAGCUGAGAUGACAGGUGCCUGCACCACACCCAGCUAAGAUGUCUUUAUUUUAAAGAAUGAAUUAAGUCUCAGAGUUUAAGCAGAAGGCCCAAGUCACAGACUAAACUAUAAGUUGUGUCAUCAGGUGCCUGAUUAAAGCUUUUCUAUUUCCUCAUGGAAAUGAUGUUAUAGGAAAAGUUCUAAGAUCCCAAGAGAUUAUAUUUAAUGUGACUUCAUGGAGAUGUUCAAAAUGGAAUAAUGUAAAAUAUUAUUUUCUAUCACACUGAGAAUCACCUGAGAUUCAUUCUACUUUUGUUUUGUAGAUUCAAAAUAUGGUGAUUGUACAGGGAUCUUCAUCUUAAUUUGGGUUCUUCCAGAAACAGAUCCUGAGACAAAAAUUCAAAUGUAAUUAGUCUAGAUGGAAGGUAUAGGAAAUACCAGCAGGGCUGUGGAAGAAGGAUUCCAAGGAGGCAGGCUACAAAUAAAGGGUAUGCUCUGAAGCCAGCUCCCACAAGGGAGUGGUUGAAAUGUUUCCUGCAAGGAACUGCAAAAACGGAGCUCAGAGUUCUCUUCACCCAACGAGUGAAAGCUGGGAUUGUUAAACACCAGCUCCCACCAAGUAUUACUGGAAGCUGCUGGGGGAGAAGUGUUCAUGUCUCAGCACUUCAGGUCUGUCCUGCUUAUAGAAGAGUGGCUUUCUACAUUGCUAGAAAAUCCCUUACACACAGUCAUGCAGAUACUCACAGUUGAAAGUCCAUAAAAGCAAUCAUAAUUUUAAGAUUCCAGGAAUGUCUGUUGGCACUGUCAGAAUCUGCCUCAUCUUAAAAUUUCAUUUUCUGUGAAAGCAGCAAAUCUAAAAUGCAACUAAAAACAUGCUACUGAAAGGAAUUGAGUCUAUUGAGAAUAAGCAAUACAUAUUUUUUUCUGUAAUGAAUAAAUGGACUUCAAUUUUACUUAAAUGACAGAUUUGAAGAUUUACAAACCUGAAAAAUAAUUGUAGAAAUUCAGUCUAAUACUUACACUUAAUAGAUAAAGCAAUAUAGAUUGAUAAAAGUGAAGUGAUUUUUAUAAGAUCAUCUGUAUAGUCAGUGGGAUUCAUGGGUUUAAAGUUUUAGAAGACAACAGCUAAAGAGGACAUUCAAGAGAUGGUGCAGUCUUGCGUCAGGGAGUCUGCUCGACUUGCAGGACCCCUUUGGGUUCACUACGCCCCUCAGGGCCGGCCACCUUUCCCUCCUUAGAGUUAGCAAGGCGCCCUUAGUGCCGCGGUGACAGCACAACCUCCAACUCCGGAGAACAACAGCUCCUCCAUACAUCCCCAGAGACGUCAAGGAGGAGCAAACCCAGCGGCCAGGAGGCUACUACGCCUUACGACAGAAGAGAGGGAGGGCAUCUGUUUCUAAGUUCUCAAAACUUACAGGAUUCAAGAUGACCAACGAAGAACCUCUUCCCAAAAAGAUUCGAAGGAGUGAAACAGACUUCAAAGUUAUGGCAAGAGAUGAGUUAAUUCUAAGAUGGAAACAAUAUGAAGCAUAUGUACAAGCUGUGAAAGGCAGGUACACAGAUCUUAACUCUAAUGAUGUAACUGGCCUAAGAGAGUCGAAGCAAAACUAAAGCAACAACAGCAGGAGUCUGCACGCAGGGAAAACAUCCUUGUAAUGUGACUAGCAACCAAGGAACAAGAGAUGCAAGAGUGCACUACUCAAAUCCAGUACCUCAAGCAAGUCCAGCAGCCGAGCGUUGCCCAACUGAGAUCAACAAUGGUAGACCCAGUGAUCAACUUGUUUUUCCUAAAAAUGAAAGGUGAACUGGAACAGACUAAAGACAAACUGGAACAAGCCCAAAAUGAACUGAGUGCCUGGAAGUUUACGUCUAAUAGAGGCCUGAUGGCAUCGGACUAUUCCGAAGAAGUGGCCACCUCUGAAAAAUUCCCCUUCUAGAACAUGUAAACACUUGAGAAAUGUUUUUGUUUGAAGAAAAUAGAGGGAGGAACAGAAGUCUUAAGUCUGUGGCACACUGUAUCUUCAGACAGUUUGAAGGAAUGAAAACCUAGAGAUUUUAAGUCAUGAAUUGAACAUGUAAAAUUCCAGUAAAAUGUAAAAAUGGAAUAUGCAUCGCUCUUAACCUUGAGCACCGUGACUUAGAGCCACUAUAUAUCAGUUUUGCCAAUAAGACUGUGGACUUCGUGAUUGUUGUUGAACUUCUGGGUCAAAACUCAAAUGAGGUGAAUUUUGCCUUUAAAGGGUUUAUUUGCUGAGAACCAAUUUUUAAUAGUUAUGAGAGAAUCAAUAGAUGUCCGUACAAGUAGCGCAUAUAUUUAACCAUUUAGUUUGGGGCUCUAUAGUACUUGCUUGAGCCUUAAAUCAACGUGGUUUUAUUCAAUGGUUUGUUCUUUGAAUGGUUGCAAAAACUGUAGAUAAUCUUACUGAGGACUGUACAAACAUGAAGGUGUGGUAUUAAACUUCAGGUUUAAACUGUUUGAAGCAUUAUAAACAUUCAUUUCACAACUAGAUUGUAUAAGGAUAUUAGCUGUGAUGAGACUCACUGCAUUAUUUUUUAGUGAAUUUUAUGAAAUCCCCAUUCCAUUUAACAGGUACAUGUUUAAAAGAGCAUCGUCAUUGGUGUUAAUGGGGGAAUGUGUUCCUUCAUUGUAUUUGGGCCUUUUGUAUUGCACUCUUGAUAUUAAAUUAAAUGUGCCUUGAAAAAAAAA